UCCCGGCUGGCUCAGUGGUAGAGAAUCUGCCUCCAACGCAGGAGAUGCAAGAGACAUGGGUUUGAGCCCUAGGUUGGGAA
rnacentral:tRNA from 1 species